rnacentral:rRNA from 1 species
UACAGAGGUCUCAAGCGUUGUUCGGAUUCAUUGGGCGUAAAGGGUGCGUAGGUGGUGAUGCAAGUCUGGUGUGAAAUCUCGGAGCUCAACUCCGAAAUUGCACCGGAUACUGCGUGACUCGAGGACUGUAGAGGAGAUCGGAAUUCACGGUGUAGCAGUGAAAUGCGCAGAUAUCAGGAGGAACACCGAUGGCGAAGGCAGGUCUCUGGGCCACUACUGACGCUGAGAAGCGAAAGCAUGGGGGAGCGAACAGG